rnacentral:rRNA from 1 species
CCUACGGGAGGCAGCAGUAAGGAAUAUUGGUCAAUGGAGGCAACUCUGAACCAGCCAUGCCGCGUGCAGGAUGACGGCCCUAUGGGUUGUAAACUGCUUUUAUACAAGAGAAAACCCUGGUACGUGUACCAGGUUGAUAGUAUUGUAAGAAUAAGCAUCGGUUAACUUCGUGCCAGCAGCCGCGGUAAGACGAAGGAUGCAAGCGUUAUCCGGAUUCAUUGGGUUUAAAGGGUGCGUAGGCGGACUGAUAAGUCAGUGGUGAAAUCUCUUUGCUUAACAAAGAAACUGCCAUUGAUACUGUCGGUCUAGAGUAUAGAUGACGUUGGCGGAAUAUGACAUGUAGUGGUGAAAUACUUAGAUAUGUCAUAGAACACCGAUUGCGAAGGCAGCUAACGAAACUAUAAACUGACGCUGAGGCACGAAAGUGCGGGGAUCAAACAGGAUUAGAUACCCUGGUAGUCCGCACCGUAAACGAUGAUUACUCGUUGUUGGCGAUAUGACAGUCAGCGACCAAGCGAAAGCGAUAAGUAAUCCACCUGGGGAGUACGCCGGCAACGGUGAAACUUAAAUGAAAUUGACGG